rnacentral:rRNA from 1 species
GUUGUAUGGUUAAGUGACUAAGCGUACACGGUGGAUGCCUUGGCAGUCAGAGGCGAUGAAAGACGUAGUAACUUGCGAUAAGCCCAGAUUAGGUAGUAACAACCAUUUGAGUCUGGGAUUUCUGAAUGGGGAAACCCACGUGCAUAAGCACGUAUCCUUACCUGAAUACAUAGGGUAAGGAGGCGAACCGGGGGAACUGAAACAUCUAAGUACCCCGAGGAAAAGAAAUCAACCGAGAUUCCGAAAGUAGCGGCGAGCGAAAUUGGAUUAGCCCUUAAGCUUUACACGCGUUAGACGAACGGUCUGGAAAGUCCGACGAUACAGGGUGAUAGUCCCGUAGUUGACGACGUGUGUUCAGUGAAAUCGAGUAGGGCGGGACACGUGAUAUCCUGUCUGAAUAUGGGGGGACCAUCCUCCAAGGCUAAAUACUACUGACUGACCGAUAGUGAACCAGUACCGUGAGGGAAAGGCGAAAAGAACCCCUGUGAGGGGAGUGAAAUAGAACCUGAAACCGUGUACGUACAAGCAGUAGGAGCAGGCUUUGUCCUGUGACUGCGUACCUUUUGUAUAAUGGGUCAGCGACUUAUAUUCAGUGGCAAGGUUAACCAUCUAGGGGAGCCGUAGGGAAACCGAGUCUUAACUGGGCGUUCAGUCUCUGGAUAUAGACCCGAAACCAGGUGAUCUAGCCAUGGGCAGGUUGAAGGUUGAGUAACAUCAACUGGAGGACCGAACCGACUAAUGUUGAAAAAUUAGCGGAUGACUUGUGGCUAGGGGUGAAAGGCCAAUCAAACCUGGAGAUAGCUGGUUCUCCCCGAAAGCUAUUUAGGUAGCGCCUCGGACGAAUACUACUGGGGGUAGAGCACUGUUAAGGCUAGGGGGUCAUCCCGACUUACCAACCCUUUGCAAACUCCGAAUACCAGUAAGUACUAUCCGGGAGACACACGGCGGGUGCUAACGUCCGUCGUGGAGAGGGAAACAACCCAGACCGCCAGCUAAGGUCCCAAAUUACUACUAAGUGGGAAACGAUGUGGGAAGGCUCAGACAGCCAGGAUGUUGGCUUAGAAGCAGCCAUCAUUUAAAGAAAGCGUAAUAGCUCACUGGUCGAGUCGGCCUGCGCGGAAGAUGUAACGGGGCUAAGUAGUAAACCGAAGCUGCGGCAAUACUCUUUGAGUAUUGGGUAGGGGAGCGUUCUGUAAGCGGUUGAAGGUGUGUGGUAACGCAUGCUGGACGUAUCAGAAGUGCGAAUGCUGACAUGAGUAACGAUAAAGGGGGUGAAAAACCUCCUCGCCGGAAGACCAAGGGUUCCUGUCCAACGUUAAUCGGGGCAGGGUAAGUCGACCCCUAAGGCGAGGCCGAAAGGCGUAGUCGAUGGGAAACGGGUUAAUAUUCCCGUACUUCUUACAAUUGCGAUGGGGGGACGGAGAAGGCUAGGUGGGCCUGGCGACGGUUGUCCAGGUUCAAGUGCGUAGGCUUAAGAGUUAGGUAAAUCCGGCUCUUUUUAAGGCUGAGACACGACGUCGAGCUACUACGGUAGUGAAGUCAUUGAUGCCAUGCUUCCAGGAAAAGCCUCUAAGCUUCAGAUUGUAAGGAAUCGUACCCCAAACCGACACAGGUGGUCGGGUAGAGAAUACCAAGGCGCUUGAGAGAACUCGGGUGAAGGAACUAGGCAAAAUGGUACCGUAACUUCGGGAGAAGGUACGCUCUCGACGGUGAAGUCCCUCGCGGAUGGAGCUAUUGAGAGUCGCAGAUACCAGGUGGCUGCAACUGUUUAUUAAAAACACAGCACUGUGCAAAAUCGUAAGAUGACGUAUACGGUGUGACGCCUGCCCGGUGCCGGAAGGUUAAUUGAUGGGGUUAGACUUCGGUCGAAGCUCUUGAUCGAAGCCCCGGUAAACGGCGGCCGUAACUAUAACGGUCCUAAGGUAGCGAAAUUCCUUGUCGGGUAAGUUCCGACCUGCACGAAUGGCGUAAUGAUGGCCACGCUGUCUCCACCCGAGACUCAGUGAAAUUGAAAUCGCUGUGAAGAUGCAGUGUACCCGCGGCUAGACGGAAAGACCCCGUGAACCUUUACUACAGCUUGGCACUGAACAUUGACCCUACAUGUGUAGGAUAGGUGGGAGGCUUUGAAGCAGGUACGCCAGUAUCUGUGGAGCCGUCCUUGAAAUACCACCCUUGUAGUGUUGAUGUUCUAACGUCGACCCCUAAUCGGGGUUGCGGACAGUGCCUGGUGGGUAGUUUGACUGGGGCGGUCUCCUCCCAAAGAGUAACGGAGGAGCACGAAGGUGGGCUAAUCACGGUUGGACAUCGUGAGGUUAGUGCAAUGGCAUAAGCCCGCUUGACUGCGAGAAUGACAAUUCGAGCAGGUGCGAAAGCAGGUCAUAGUGAUCCGGUGGUUCUGAAUGGAAGGGCCAUCGCUCAACGGAUAAAAGGUACUCCGGGGAUAACAGGCUGAUACCGCCCAAGAGUUCAUAUCGACGGCGGUGUUUGGCACCUCGAUGUCGGCUCAUCACAUCCUGGGGCUGAAGUCGGUCCCAAGGGUAUGGCUGUUCGCCAUUUAAAGUGGUACGCGAGCUGGGUUUAGAACGUCGUGAGACAGUUCGGUCCCUAUCUGCCGUGGGCGUUGGAAGAUUGAAGGGGGCUGCUCCUAGUACGAGAGGACCGGAGUGGACGAACCUCUGGUGUUCGGGUUGUGUCGCCAGACGCAUUGCCCGGUAGCUAAGUUCGGAAUCGAUAACCGCUGAAAGCAUCUAAGCGGGAAGCGAGCCCUGAGAUGAGUCUUCCCUGAUACUUUAAGUAUCCUAAAGGGUUGUCGGAGACUACGACGUUGAUAGGUCAGGUGUGUAAGUGCUGUGAGGCAUUGAGCUAACUGAUACUAAUUGCCCGUGAGGCUUAACCAUACAACACCCAAGGGGUUU